rnacentral:rRNA from 1 species
GUCUACGGCCGUACCACCCUGAACAUGUGCGAUCUCAUCUGAUCUGGGAAGCUAAGCAGGGUCGGGCUUGGUUAGUACUUGGAUGGGAGAAAACAUGUAGAGUUAAAAAAAUAGCUGAGGUCA